CCCCUAGAUGUUCUGGGCCGCACGCGCGCUACACUGAACAGUUCAACAAGUCUUAACCUUGGCCGAUAGGUCUGGGUAAUCUUUGAACGCUGUUCGUGAUUGGGAUAGACCUUUGCAAUUAUGGGUCUUCAACGAGGAAUUCCUAGUAAACGCAAGUCAUCAGCUUGCAUUGAUUACGUCCCUGCCCUUUGUACACACCGCCCGUCGCACCUACCGAUUGAAUGGUCCGGUGAAUGAUUCGGACUUCCGCAGUGCUAGCUACUAGCUUUGUGGAAGAAAGUCUUGUGAACCUUAUCACUUGGAGGAAGGAGAAGUCGUAACA
rnacentral:rRNA from 1 species